rnacentral:tRNA from 1 species
GGGAAUGUAGCUUAGUGGUAGAGUGCUUGCCUAGCAUGCAUGAAGCCCUGGGUUCGAUUCUUCAGCACCA